rnacentral:rRNA from 1 species
UACGUAGGGUGCAAGCGUUGUCCGGAAUUAUUGGGCGUAAAGAGCUCGUAGGCGGCUUGUCGCGUCGACUGUGAAAUCCCGCGGCUCAACUGCGGGUCUGCAGUCGAUACGGGCAGGCUAGAGUUCGGUAGGGGAGACUGGAAUUCCUGGUGUAGCGGUGAAAUGCGCAGAUAUCAGGAGGAACACCGGUGGCGAAGGCGGGUCUCUGGGCCGAUACUGACGCUGAGGCGCGAAAGCCAGGGGGAGCGAACGGG